CAUGAAAAUAAUUCAGAGAAUAAACAAAUACCCAAAAAGUAAUAAAACAAUUAAAGCACAAGAAAGAUCUCACAGUAGUGAUGAAUCAAAGCUUCAUUAACCUUCAACCAGAAAAAUGGGUUUAGUUCCUCAUAGAGAGAAGAGAAAAAUUAGAUCUAGGGUUUCUUUUUCUCCAAUCCAAAAUCCCCCUUUUUCACAAUAGAUUCCUCCCUUAAAUACUUUUUCUCUCUUCUCUUUUAGAAUUCUAUUUAAAAUAAAAUCCUAAUAUCUGAAAUAUUAAAUUCGUAAUUACAAAAAUAACCAAAAAUACAAAACACGUUAAACUAAAAACUGCAGGUCCGCAGUUGACAGCACGCGCCCACGCCUUAUCAACAAAGUUCUUCUGACGCUCAUAAUUUCUCCAAGAGAACAAUCAUCCUUAAACAUCAUCUUAUAGCUCAAUUUUAUCAUCAAUCAAUAGAAUUGCACCUACAAAAGUAAAACACAAGUAAAUCACUAUUAUUAAGUGCAAAACAUUGAUAUUAAGGGAAGUAAAUAAUGCAAAACUAGUGCAUAAAUUGCACUCUAACAGAGACUCAAGCUAGAGAGCAUCCCAGGACAGGUCCAGCUCGCGCGAGAAAGAAACAAGGAUGGCUCAAAAACUCUGUCGUUUGAAGAAUGUUCGAGAAUGCUUGAGAUAUCAGAGUAACGAAUAUUGUUCUGUUUUCAAUUAUUGUUUUGUUGUUAUUAUCAAUUUUAUUCCAUUAGUUAGUUAAGGGUGCUUGGAUGUUUUGGAAGGCAAGAAUAUAUUUGUACUGUCAAGGGACCCGUGAGGUCAUUCAAGGAAAAAUAUCAUUUGUCUUCUUCUUCUCAAUUUCGCCUCCUUUCUUUUCUCUGUAAUUCCCCUGCUUCAUUUCUUCUCUGUUCAAUCUCUCUUCCAAAUCGAUUGGAGCCUGCACUCGCUCAAAAAGUGGCGUAUCACACAUGCUCAUACAGAAAUAUAUAAUUACGACAGAAAGCAAAUUCAAAACCCAAUACAAUAAGCGGAUGAGUUACUAGAAAAGAGUGAUUACUCACAGAAGCUUGCAGCAACAGAUAUCAAUAAACACGAACUAGCUUUGUGAGAAACAAAUGGUGAUCAAGGAAGGUAUAAAUAGAUAGAUAGAGCUCAUUAAUGCCCUGAUCUUGGUCUUCAGUUUUCAAUACUGGUAAACUUGUCGCAUAAGCUGACUUGGGUAUGAUCGUCGGGCCACAUUGAUUGUGUAGCUGCCUAAGUUAGCACCCAAAUUCCCAAGCGACUGACACGUUUCGACAUCUCAUAGGCUAGCAUGAGUUUUGUCCCAUGAAAUGGUUAGUUUUAAUUGAACUCAUUGGGUCGGACCAAGUUAGAAAGUGUCAUGUUGUCUCUAUAGUGUCUUCGGUAAGAUUCUUCAGUUAAAGUAAUCAUUCAUGCAUUUUUCCAGUGCGACAGUCUCCAUAGUUUCAUGCAAUAAACAAUCAAUCAUUUACAUACUCAUCAGCAAGAUACUUUCUCUGUUGGGUGGUGGCACAAGAUUAUUGAUCAGCUAGCAAAGUUCUGGAAUGUUCCCGCCAUAUUUUAAUGAUUUGAUAAGAGAAAAAGUGUUGCACGAAAUUAAUUUUCAUUCAAGAAACAUAUAUUUUAAUGCUAGGAAAAAGCAGAAAAGUGAGAAUGAGAAUAUAUGCGCGCCCCCCCCCCCCCCCCCGCGGCGCCAAACAAAAAUGGCAUGAUAUGGAAAGAGAGUGGGACCUUAGCCUCUUGAAGAAGGGAGAAUGAUGAGAUACUUCAAAAAUAUUUCGGUUUGCAUAAAGUUGUGGAAACAAUAACAAAACUUGCAUGCCAAGUAGAAGUAGACAGCACUGUGUGAUUAGUCAGGAUCAUAGAAGCUAAAGCUAUAUCCAAUAGGAGUAAAGUCCUCAUUAUUCCAUACACUUUAUGACAUUUGCAUUUCGUAAUUCAUUUGCAAAUUAAAUUCCCUAAGCUAAUUAAGCUAUUGAAUAAGUUAAUUCAGCUAUCCAAUUAGAUUUUUGACAAAAUUUGUAUAUUUGUAAUUUGUAAAUGAUUCUUAUUGUUUUUCAAAUUAUGUGUGUGUAUUUUUGUUUUCAGUAAAAACACUUCUACAACAUGAUUUAAAUUAAAUAUGUGCAUAUUUCUAGUAGAUAUAUAAAUUACUCUUCCUCUAAUUUUUUUCAUUAAUCUCUUGGAAAUCAACAAUUAAUCUUCAAGCCAAAAAAGAAGCAGUUUAAUGAACAUAAGAAAACCACUAUUUUAGAAUUGUCUCCGCAAAUUUGAGAAAUUGAGUACAUGAGGAAUUAUACAAUCAAUUUUUAAUUUUAUUUUACUCUGAAAAAUCUCAAAUUAAAAUAAUUAUGCUUCGAAAAUAAAGGUCGGUUUAUUAGGAGCAAUUUCGUAUGAUGGCUUUUGUUGCUUUGCUGAGUCGCGACAAUUCCGGAAAAUAAAUCUGUUAUUCGGCUCUAUUUGAAUCUCAUUGAAACGGCACCACUUUUACCAAUAAGUAGGACUUUUGACCACUUAAAACUCUCCAUGAAACCCCUAUUGAUUAUUUAGGUAAUUUUAAUUUAAGAGGUUUUAGACCAACCUCGUUUCAUGAUAUAUAUUUAUAUUUUAAAUUUAAUUGAAAAAAUCAUUUAUUUUUUGAGAAAAGUAAAAGAGCUUAGAGUCAUGGGGAUAUAAACUGUAUAAUAGAAUGAAAUAAUUUAAUAUUUUAAGAUUUAGAUGCAUAAAUGAAACUUAAAAGAAAUUUUUUUGGGUAAAAUUUGAUGGAAAAUGAUUAAUUUGUAUUUGUAUUUUAUAUAUUAAACGAGGGGUAUUUUUGAAAAUAAAACUCAAAAAGGGUGUUAUGACUUAUAAGGACUUAGAAGGGUUUUAAGAGCUCAACUCUUUACGAAUAAUUGCUUACGGUUACUUUCAUUAACAAAAAACUCGUAUUAAUUUAAAAGCAAAGCUAUUUAAAAGAAAAAAAUUAAACAAAAAGAAGACAAAUUAAAUACCAUCGACGGGAAGCAUGUUCAAUCCGUAUUUAGAUUUUUUAAGCUUACAAACCAAGUGAUUAUUUUACUUGAGAUGAACCCUUCCAGUUGAUCUACCUCUUCCUUUAGAUCUCCAUUAAGGAAAGCAGUUUUCAUGUCUAUUUGAUAUAAUUCUAUAUGAAAUGUGCCAACAAUACCAUGAUUAUCCAAAAAAAAAUUCCUUAUUACAAACUGAGAGAAAGUUUCAUGAUAAUCAAUUCCUUCUUACUAAGUGAAUCUCUUGACCACAAGUCUAGUCUUACAUCUUUCGAUAUUGCCUGAUGAAUUUCUUUUGGUUUUAGAAACCCAAUUAUAGCCAAUGUCUUUUCAUCUUUUAGGCAACUCUACUAGAUCCCAAACUUGGUUAUUAGCCAUUGAAUCCAUCUCAUCCUUCAUGGCAUUAUACCACAACAUGGAUUUACUACAACUCACAAGUAGUAAAAUGUGGUAGGGUCAUCUUCAACACCAAUGACAAUGUCAGAUUCUUGUAGGUAUACAAUAUAAUCAGAAGCAAUUUCAGGUUUUCUCAUCAUUGUAGAUCUUCUUAAUGUUACAUCAAUAUCCUCUUGAGGUGGAUCUUGAAUAAUUGGAUCUUCAAGAUUAUUUUCUACAUGAUGCGGCUCUACAGGAAUUGGUUGUUGAUAAUCUUAUAACUCUUGAUAAUUAUCUUGAAUUACAAUUAAUUUUUCUGAAGAUUCAAGAGUAGGUUUUAAACUUGGAUCUAGCUCAAAAACUAAGUUUCAAAGUUGACUAGUUCCAUUGUCUAUACCAUUCUUUAGCAAACAUGCAUUUUUACUUUUAUAAUUUCAGAAUUAUGGGAUAGAUAAUAAAAUCUAUAUCUCAUAGAUCUUUCCGCAUAGCCAAUGAAAAAACCACUAACUGUCUUUCAGUCCAGCUUUUUCUCUUAUGGAUUGUAUAUUCUAACUUAAGCGGGACAACCCUAUUCAUGCACAUGUUGUAAUUUAGGUUUCCAACCUUCCAUACUUCAAAAGGUGUUUUAGGAACAACCUUUGUUGGAACUCUAUUUAAUACAUAUAAAAUAGUUUUUAGAGCUUCACUCCACAAGGAUAAUGGGAGACUAGAGUUGCUUAUCAUAUCUGAACUGUGUCCAUUAAUGUUUAGUUUCGUCUUUCUGCUACACCAUUUUCAUAUGACGAGCCUAACAUUGUGUAUUGAGCAAUUAUACCUUCUUCCUCUAUAAACCUAGCAAAUGAACAUAAUCUUUGUCCUGAUCCCAUGUACCGACUGUAAUAUUCUCCACCUCUAUCUGAUCUGACAAUUUUAAUUUGUUUUCCUAAUUAUUUCUCUGCUUUUACUUUAUAAAAGCAGCUAGUGCUUCACCUUUAUCAUAAAGAGAGUAUAGAUACAUAUAUAAUGAAUAAUAAUCAAUGAAAGAGACAAAACAUUUCUGGCCAUUUGAGCACACUUAUGAAAAUGGCCAUAAAUGUCGGUGUGUAUGACUUCUAAUAUGUCAAAACUCCUCUUAGCACUUUUUUUUGUCUUGUUGGUAUUCUUUCCCAUAAUGCAAUCCACACAAAUAUCAAAAUCAGUAAAGUCAAGAGUCUCAAGGAUGCCAUCCUUUACUAAUCUUUUGAUUUGUUCAAUGAAGAUGUGGUCUAAUCUUCUAUGCCAUAACAUGGAGGAUUUCCCGUUUAAAACACCUCUAUUUAUACUAAUAUUACCAUGCAAAGUCAUAGAUUUAUAAUCAAAAGUAGGAUUUAAAUAAAGUUUAAAUAAACCAUCAUCUAAAAUUCCACCACCACCAACAACAACAGAGUCUUUAAACAAAUGAAAAGAUGUUCCGGUGAAAUUAAAAUUGAAACCAAGAGGUAAAGGUUUUGAAACAGUGAUAAGGUUUCUAGAAAAUGAUAGAAUUAAAAUAUUUAAUCAGAAUUUAAACAAAGCUAGAAUUAAGAACAAGUCCGUAGGUGCUCAUAGCUUCUACAUACGAAGGCAUCUUAUUCCCUGAAUAUAUUGUACGUUCAUUGUUCACUAGUUUCCAUUGGUUCUAGAAGCCCCGCAUGACAUUAGCAACAUGGAUUUUAGAACCAGAGUCAAUCCGCCAAGUGUUUCGAGAAACUUAUACCAUAUUAGAUUCGUACCACACUAGAGAUAUAGGAUUACCUUUCUUUUACAACCCAAGUCUUGUAUUUGGGGCAAGCCUUCUUCAUGUGUCCUUUGUUCUUGCAGAAAAAGCAAUUAACAGCAUCCUUAUUGACUUUAUUAAUAGAUGCCUUUCGUUUUCUUUUCCUCUUCUUGUCCUUUUUCUUUCCGUGGGUCAUAGGGACAAGAUCAGAGUUGCAAGAGAAUACAGAACCUGGUACUAGAGUGAACUGGACUGGACUUUCUUUGUAGUAACAGAAAUCUUUCAAAGCUUUCGGAAUAUGGGCCCUGCUUGGAAGUUCCAAACAUAUAUCAGAAGAUUGUUCAAUGCUUGAUGACGGAGCAAAAUCAACUUCGCGAACUCGGUGGAUUUCGUUCUCGUAAAUCAUAGGAACGCCAUAUAACUGGGAACAGAAAACAAAGAGUAGAAGCUUUUAGCUUCUAACAUUUGAAGGAAGUAAACUGAUCAAUCAUACAUCACCGUAUUGAAGUUAUAGCUUUAUUGUAAGUGAUCAAUUUGCAAAAAGGCAUUUUUUCUUUAUAUAUGACAUUAAUUGCAUAGGGUGACUCUUCUCUAGAAAACGACUUCAUAUUAAUUAGUUGUAAUGCAAAAUACAAACCUGAAUGACAAGAUACUUCGCAGGGUGACCACGGGGGCGGUGUAGCUCAAUCUGCCAAAUGCUUUCAUAGGAUAGCUCAAGCUUAUAAUCCACAGAUUCAUAUGACAGAAAGAACUCAAAUUUUCUGAUGUCCGAACACAGUUUCACAGAAACAUUUUCCUGUGACCAGAGCACAGAAAACUUGUCCUUGGAAAUAUGGCAUCCAAAAUUCAACUUCAGAUCAUCUCCCAACUGAUAAUGCGGGAUCCCUCUCUUUGCAUAAUGUGGGGUCCUUCUCUGUGCAUCGGAAGCUUUCAGAUAAGAAUUCCCGUAGGACAGACGCACACUAGCCAAGCACUUGAUGAGUUCUGCAGCCUUCACAGUUGUGAACUCGACUAUAGCAUGUGCUCUUGAACCUUUAUUUUGUCCAACUUCUACAUCGGAAACAGUUCCUUCACCGGUGUGUCCCUCCAGAAAUUCCUUCACAGCUCUGGCAGACACAUGUGAAGCAAAUCCAUACAAACUGAUCUUCUUAGCCAUUUCGGCUAAACAAUUUCAACUGCAGUUUCAAUUGUACUUUAUUGAAGUUUGCAACUCAUACAACACCAACUUACGAAAUCAAUUAGCAAUAAAAGGCAACGUAUGCUCAUAUAGAAAUAUAUAAUUAGGAUGUAAAAAAAAUUCAAAACCAAAUAUAAAAUAAGCAAAGGAGUUACUAGAAAAGAGUGAUUACUCACAGAAGCUUGCAGCAAGAGAUGUCAAUAAACACUAACUAGCUCCGUGAGAAACAAAUGGUGAUCAAGGAAGGUAUAUAAUAUAUAGACUGAAAAGCUCAUUAAUGCCGCCAUUCUUGGUCUUCAGUUUCAAUACUAGGAAACUUGUCAUAUAAGCUGACUUGACUAUGACCUUCGGGCCCCAUUGACAGUGUAGCUGCUUAAGUUAGCACCCAAACUCCCAUGUGACUGACACGUUUUGACAUCUCAUUGGCUGACAUGAGUUUUUUCCCCUGGAAUAGUUAGUUUUAGUUCAACACACUGGGUCACACCGAGUUAGAAUGAGUCAUCGUGUGUCUAUGGUGUCUUCAUAAGAUUCCAUAGUUUCAUGCACAAAACAAUCAACAUCCACAUCAGCAAGAUGCUUUCUACAGGAAACAUAUAUUUUAAUGCUAGCAAAAACGAAAAGGUAAUAACGAAAAUAUACGGCUCCCCAAUGGCAUGAUAGGGAAGGAGAGUGAGACCUUAGCUGCUUCAAGAAGGGAGAAUGAUGAGACGUGGAUAGAUACUUUUGAAAUAUGUCCCCCAAUGGCAUGAUAGGGAAGGAGAGUGGAAACAAGCUUGCAUGCCAAGUAAAAGUAGAAAGCACUAUUGUUUGAUUAAUCAGGUUCAUAGAAGCUAAGCUAUAUCCAAUAGGAGUAAAGUCCUCCAUACACUUUAUGACAUUUGUAUUUCGUAAUUCACAUGCAAAUUAAAUGUGCUAAGCAAGUGUGUCUCCCUUCAUUGAGAUAUAAUAUAGUAGUCAAUUAAGAUACUGAAUAAGCUAAAUAAGCUAUCGAAUAAGAUUUAUGACAGAAUUUGUAUAUUUUUAAAUAAUUGUUAUUAUUUUCAAUUUUUUUAAUAUUUGUUUUUAAUAAAAACACUUCUGCAACAUGAUUCAGAUUAAGUAUGUACAUAUUUUUAGUAGAUAUAUAAAUUACUCUUCCUCUAAUUUUUUUCUUUAAUCACUUGGAAAUCAACAACUACUCGUCAAGGUAAAAAGGAAGAAAAAAUGUAAUCCACUCCUCAACUUUUAUCAAUAAAAUCGAAUCACUAUUUUAGAAUUAUCCACGCAAAUUCAAGAAAAUGAGUACUUGAGGAAUUAACUAAUCAAUUUUUUCAAUUUUACUCUUAAAAAUUUCAAAAAUUAAAAUAAUUAUGCUUUGAAACGUAAAAGUGGGCUUAUUAGGAGGAAUUUUGCAUGAUGGAUUUUGUUUUGGGCUUUGUUGCUUUGCGAAUUGCCAGAAUUCGGAAGACAAAACUGUCGUUCGAACUCUUAUUUGAAUCUCAUUGAACCGGCACCACUUUUACUAAUGAAUAGGGCUUUUGACCCCUCGGAAUUCUCCACAAACACAAAACGCGUAUUGAUUAUUUGGGUAAUUUUAAUUUAAGAGACUUUAGACCAACCUCAUUUCAUGAUAUAUAUUUAUAUUUUAAAUUUAAUUGAAAAAAGCAUUUAUUUUUUGAGAAAAGUAAAAGAGCUUAGGGUUAAGGGGAUAUAAACUACAUAAUAAAAUAAAAUAAUUUAAGAUUUAAAUGUAUUUUAUAAAUGAAACUUAAAAGAAUUUUUUUUUUGUGAGAUUUGAUGGAAAGAUGAUUAAUUUGUAUUUGUAUUUUAUGCAUUAAACUAGGGGUAUUUUAGAAAAUAAAACUCAAAAAGGAUGUUAUAAGGAUUUGGAGGGUCUUAAAAGUCCACCUCUUUAUGAGUAACUACUUAAGGGUACUUUCAUUAAACAAAACGCUCAUUAAUUAAAGAACAAUGCUAUUUAAAAGAAAAAAUUAAAUAGAAAGAAGAUGAAUUAAAUACCACUGAUGAGAAAUUUGUUUUAAUCCAAAUAUAGAUUUCUUAACCUUACAAACAAAGUGAUUAUUUUUAGUUGAGAUGAACCUUCCAGUUGUUUCAUGUAAACCUCUUCUUUUAGAUCUCCAUUUUCACAUCUAUUUGAUGUAAUUUCAUAUGAAAAUGGGUCACCGAUGCCAUGAUUACCCGAAAAGAAUCUUUCUUAGAGACUACAGCGAAAGUUUCAUGAUAAUCAAUUCCCUAUUGCUAAAUGAAUCCCUUGACUGUAAGUUUAGCUUUGCAUCUUUCAAUAUUGCCUGAUGAAUUUCGUUUUGUUUAAAAAUAUCACUUAUAGCCAAUGGCUUUUGUUCCUUCAACCAACUCUGAGAGAUCCCAAACUUAGUUGGUAACCUUUGAAUCUCAUCCUUCAUGGCACUAUGCCACAACAUGGAUUUACUACAGCUCACAGGCUGUAAAAUGUGGUAUGGUCAUCAUCAGCACUCUUGUAGGUGUACAAUAUAAUCAUAACUAAUUGCAAGUUUUCUCAUAGUUGUAGAUCUACUUAAUGUUACAUCAGUAUCCUCUUGAGGAUAAUCUUGAAUAACUGGAUCUCCAAAAUUGUUUUUCUACAUUAUGCGGCUCUUCAAGAAUUGGUUAUUAAUAAUCUUGUAAAUCUUCAUAAUUAUCUUGAAUAUGCAACUAAUUUUUUGAAAAUUUCAGAGUAGGUUUUAAAAUUAGAUUUUACUCAAAAACUAAGUUUCGCGGUUGACUACUUUUAUUGUUUGUACCAUUCCUUAGAAAACAUGCAUUUUUUUUUUAUAAUUUUAGAAUUAUGGGAUGGACAAUAAACUCUAUAUCCCUUAUACCUUUCUACAUAGCCAGUGAAAAAACCACUAACUGUCCUUGAAAUUAACUUUUUCUCUUGUGGAUUGUUAUGAAUGGCAAAAAACCCGACCUGAGUUUUUGCUCAAUUAACUGAGCCCAAAAUUUUGAGAAGGUUCAAGGGUCAGAUUAGGGCUUAAGAUUAAAUUUAGGUCAGGGUUCGGGCCCUUCCUAGCCUGACUUGACUUGACUCUAACUAAAAAAAAAAAAGAGGUAUGUAAAUAGAAGUUAAUCAUAUAAAAACAGAGAAAAAUGUUUUAAAAGUCUGUGCAAAACUUUACUAUACAUAUUUAGUUUAAAAUCAAUUGGGAACGGAGUAACUUAGAGCAAGAGGAUGAUGAAAUUGUGCAUGCACAAGCAUUGCCUGAGGAAUCAUCAAGGGUUGCAAAUAUUGUAACAUCAUAAUCUUUGCAGGCUUUCUCUCAAUUCUCGAAUCCAUUCCAUGCAAGUACCCAUCAAACUCAUUUUCAUUGUGAUGUGAGCAAGCUGUUAGACCUGGCAUGGUGAGCACCUCCGUGUCUCUUAACAUUCAAAAUCCUAGCAAGCUUUGAUACCCCAACUUCAGGCCCCAUAAAACUUAACGGUAUCUAGGGACAACUUUAAUAUCAAAAACACAUUAGAAAAACAUUGCAGCAACCCUAGAAAAGGCUUCGGCUGUUGGUGGCAAUGCAUUGUUUGUUUUUGACAUGGUUUUUAUUUAUGUUUAUUUAUAUAAUUAUAUAGUUGAGACGCUGAGUAUAAUAUUUUUUAUUGUUUUAUAUUUAUGUUGCUUUAAACAAACUUUUAAAUUAUAAUAUAUUAGGGGAGUUAUGUCAUUUUUCUUUUAAAUUUAAAUUAUUUAAAUAUCAAAAGAAAAAAAUCUUUAAAAAAUUACAAUUGGAUUCAGGUGAUUCGGGUUGGGUCACUUCAAAGGGCUAGACUUCUUUUAGGGCUCAGGCCCUUUAUUUCAAUUGCCUCCCGAGCCCAACCAAGCCCAUUGCCAUCCUUAUAGGUUGCAUAUUCUAACCUUAGUUAGACAACCCCAUUCAUGCACAUAUCUUAACCUAGGUUUCCAACAUUUCCAUAAUUCAAAAGGUGUUUUAGGAAUAGCCUUAUGGAACCAUAUUUAACACAUUUACAGUAGUUUUUAUAGCUUUGCUCCACAAGGAUAAUGGGAGGCUAGAGUUGUUUAUCAUAUUCUGAACAUGUCCAUUAAUAUUUGGUUUCAUCUUUCUACUACACCAUUUUAAUAUGGCGAGCUUCAUAUUGUGUACUGAAAACAAUGCCUUCUUCCUUUAGAGACCUAGUAGAUGGAACUAGUCUUGUCCUGAUCCUGUGUAUCGACGAUAAUAUUCUCCACCUCUAUCCGAUCUAACAAUUUAAUUUUCUUUUUAAUUGUUUCUCUUCUUCUACUUUAUAUACUUCAAAAGAAUCUAGUGCUUCACCUUUAUCAUAAAGAAAGUAGAGAUGUGUAUAUCAUGAAUAAUCGUCAAUGGAAGAGAUGAAGUUUUUCUAAUCAUUUAAGCAUACUUCUGGAAAUGGGCCACAAAUGUCAGUGAGUACAAUUUCUAAUAUGUUAGAACUCCUCCUAGCACCUUUCUUUGUUUUAUUGUUAUGAUUUCCUUUAAUUCCACACAAAUACCAAACUUAGUAAAGUCAAGAGUCUCAAUGACGUCAUCCUUUUCUAAUCUUUUUUAUUUGUUCAAUGGAGAUGUGAUUUAAUAUCCUGUGCCAUAAAGUAUAAACAAACCAUCAUCUAAAAUUUCACUACCAGCAAUAAUGAAGUUUUUAAACAAAUGAAAAAUGUCCCAAUGAAAUUAAAACUAAAACCAAGAGGUAAAAUCAAGGUUUAAGACAAAGCCAGAAUUAAGGACAUGUCUAUAGGUCCCACAACUUCCUUAUGUGAAGGCUCUUUAUUCCGUGAAUAGAUUGCAUGUUUGUAGUUCAUCGGUUUGCUUUGGUUUAAGAAGCCCUGGAUGGUAUUGGCAACAUGGAUUGUAGAACUCGAGUCAAUUCGCCAAGUGUUUUGAGAAACUUGAACCAUACUAGAUUCGUAACACACUAGAGAUAUAGGAUUACCUUUUUUCUUUUCAAGCCAAGUCCUGUAAUUGGGGCAAGCCUUCUUCAUGUGUCCUUUCUUCCUGCAGAAAAAGCACUUGACACCAUCCUUAUUGACUUGAUUAAGAGAUGCCUUUCCUUUUCCUUUCCCUUUCUUGUCGUUUUUCUUUCCAUAAGUCAUGGGGACCAGAUCAGAGUUGCAAGAGAAUACAGAACCUGGUACUAGAGUGAACUGGACUGGACUUUCUUUGUAGUAAAAUAAAUCUUUCAGGGCUUUCGGAAUAUGGGCCCUGGUUGGAAGUUCCAAACAUAUGGCAGAAGAUUUUCCAACGCUUGAUGAUGGAGUAAAAUCAACUUCGCGAACCCAGUGGAUAUCAUUCUUAUAAAUCAUUGGAGGACCAUGUAACUGGCAACAGAAAAUAAAGAAAACAAGUUUUUAGCUUAAAAAUUUUGAAAGAAGUAAACUGAUCAAUCAUACAUCAUGGUAAUGAAGUCAUAUCUUUAUUGCAAGUGAUCAAUUUACAAAAGGCAACAUUUCUUGAUACAUGACAUGAAGUUCAUUAAUUGCAUAGGGUGAUUCUUAAAGAAGAUUUCGUAUUAAUUAGUUGUAAUGCAAAUACAAACCUGAAUGACAAGAUACUUCACAGAGUGACCACUGGGGAUGUGUAGCUCAAUCUGCGAAAUGCUUUCAUCGGAGAGCUCAAACCUGGAAUCCACAGAUUCAUAUGACAGAAAGAACUCAAAUUUUCUGAGGUCCGAACACAGUUUCACAGAAACAUUUUCCUGUGACCAAAACACAGAAAACUUGUCCUUGGAAAUUUGGCAUCCAAAAUUCAACUUCAGAUCAUCACCCAACUUGUAGUGCGGGGUCCUUCUCUUUACAUAGGAAGCUUUCAGAUAAGAAUUCCCAGCCAAGGACAUAUGAGGUCUGCUGCUUCCACAGUUGUGAACUCAACUACAGCAUGUGCUUUUAAACCCUUAUUUUGUCCAACUUCUACAUCGGAAACAGUUCCUUCACCGGUAUGUUCCUCCAGAAAAUCCUUCAAAGCUUUGGGAGACACAGGUGAAGCAAAUCCAGACAACGUGAUCAUCUUAGCCAUUUCGUCUAAACAAUUUCAACUGCAGUUUCAAUUGACCAUUAUUAAAGUUAGCAACUCAUACAACGACAAAUUACGAAAUCAAUUUCAAUAAAAUUAACACAUGCUCAUACACAAAUAAAUAAUUAGGACAGGAAGCAAAUUGAAACAAACGGUGAUCAAGGAAGGUAUAUAUAGAGAGAAGAGCUCAUUAGUGCCCUGUUCUUGGUCUUUAGUUUUCAACACUAGGAAACUUGUCGUAUAAGCUGACUUGGCUGUGACCUUUGGGCCCCAUUCAUAGUGUAGCUCCCUAAGUUAGCGCCCAAACUCCCAUGUGACUGACACGUUUCGACAUCUCAUUGGCUGACAUGAGUUUUGUCCCGUGAAAUAGUUUUAGUUCAGCACAUUGGGUCACACCGAGUUAGAAAGUGUCAAGAUACUUUCUGUUGGGUGGUGGCACAAGAUUAUUGAUCAGCUAGCUAAGUUCUCGAGUAUUCCCGCCCUAUUUUAAUGAUUCGAAAAGAGAAGAAGUGUGCAUGCAAUUGAUUUUCGUACAAGAAACAUAUAUUUUAAUGCUAGCAAAAAGGAAAAAAGUGAGAAUGAAAAUAUAUGCCCCCAGUGGCGCGAUGAGGAAGGAGAGUGGGACCUUAGCUGCCUGAAGAAGGGUGAAUGAAAAGAGAUAGAGAUAGAUACCAUUGAAAGUUGUUGAAAGUGGAAAGAAUAACAAAACUUGCAUGCCAAGUAGAAGUAGACAAUGCUACUGUGUGAUCAGUCAGGUUCACAGACACUAAAGCUACAUCCAAUAGGAGUAAAGUCGUCAUUAUUCCAUACACUUUUUGACAUUUGCAUUUCGUAAUUCAUAUGUAAAUUAUAUUCACACUGAGAUAUAAUAUAGCGGUUAAUUAAGAAAUUGAAGAAGCUAACCAACCUAUCCAAUAAGAUUUAUGACAAAAUUUUUA
rnacentral:lncRNA from 1 species